GAGAAAGAAAGGUUUAAACAAAACCUUCUCUUUCGUCGAUCCCUCAUCAUGCGACGCUCCCUUCGCUUUCCCCGAUCAACUUUUCGACCACUGCUCGACGAGAGCAAGAUGGCGAUAAGCUCCCUUCGUGUCGCUGGUUAAGUUCUGACCUUCUUUCACGCCGAACGAACCUCCAGUAGCGCGAUCUGGAGCUGUCUUCUUCGACAGCUUUCUCUUCUUCGACUUCCGGCGACCUUAAUGCUUUUCCGGCGACAUAACCUGACUUGUUGAAAUUGAUCAAAGAAUCGAAGUCCCCAUAGAAUUUCGAACAUUUUGAUCUGUUAACCAAAUGAUCGCGGGCAAGAACCUAACUCUGGCCACUGUGUACGGCGGCUGUCCCGGCGGUCCGACGAGGCUUAGGUGAAGUAUAAAACACAGAUCUUCCUCUUGCUGUGUUGAUCGUAAAUCUCUAAAUAGAAAUCAAGUUGGGGCUUUAAAAAGUUCAUCAGCAUCUGAUAAAGGAUCGAGAAGUUGAGCAAUGACUUACUAUAAGCAAACAAACUGUGAGCAGGGUUAGAUAAUCCGCAUCGCUCAUGCAUUUUACAUCUAUGCAUACAUGAAUAAUAUGCUAUCUAUAUGAAGCAUGCGUACAUGUAGAAAUGCCAUAUAGGCGUGUAUGCCAUGAACAACAUCGAAUACAUGUAUUAUAUUAAAAUAUAUGGCGAUGCUGGAUAUUAUACAUUGCGUGAAUGAUGUGAAAUUUGGUGAUUGAAUGUGACUUGUUUGUAAUGUGCUGUGGAGUUAGAAUGAUGUGGGUCACCAUGGGGUGAGAGCACGGGUAUGGUGAGAAUGCCGUCAGUGGGCCAUAAGCGGGUGGUACUCCACCCCCCUUUGCACUGUGUAAUUUGAUGCGCAUCGAUGAUAAAAAAAAAAAAGAAAAAGGAAAAGAAAGAAAAAUAACAAAAAGGAAAAGAAAAGGAAAGUAAAGAGAAAUAGACGGACGAGGUCCGUCCAGCCCGAACAGGGAUGGACUCCCUGAGUGCACUUGAUACAAGGAUCAUAGAUUAUUUUUCCGGAAAUUAUUUUAAAGCAUGCUUUGGGGGUGAGCAUGAUCCUGGUUUAUAAUGGGUGAUUCCACAGACUAAUAUCCAUUGUUUGAUUACUUGAAUUAUUGUGACUUGUUUGGUAAGUGUUCAUUCAUGCUUGCUUGUUCAUCCAUAAUUAGCCAGAGGGCUACUGAUUGUAAAACAUGAUCAUUGUAUGUACGAUUGUAUGGUAUGGGAGGGUUAUCUAACCCUACUCAUUGAAUUUAGCGCUCACCUUGCCUCCUUAUUUUUCCAAGUGCUAGAAGAAGAGAAAAAUCCUAUGGAUCCAACUGAAUUGAAAUAUAAAUAAAGAAAAAUAACAAUAAAUGUAUAAAGCAUGUUGAUGUAAAGAUUGUAAUUUAUGGAGAUCCGCAAUUAUAUUCCAAGUGAGUUGUAAUUGAAUAAUAUGGAUAUAUGUAUUAAUUAUAUAAAUUGUAUUUUCGAUACAUCUGUGGAGAAUUGGAUUGGGCUUUGAUUAUCA